rnacentral:rRNA from 1 species
UACGGAGGGUGCGAGCGUUAAUCGGAAUAACUGGGCGUAAAGGGCACGCAGGUGGGACUUUAAGUGAGAUGUGAAAUCCCCGGGCUUAACCUGGGAAUGGCAUUUCAGACUGGGAAUCUAGAGUACUUUAGGGAGGGGUAGAAUUCCACGUGUAGCGGUGAAAUGCGUAGAGAUGUGGAGGAAUACCGAAGGCGAAGGCAGCCCCUUGGGAAUGUACUGACGCUCAGGUGCGAAAGCGUGGGGAGCAAACAGG